UAUCUCUGUAGAGUCUGCAUAUCAAUAAGCGGAGGAAAAGAAACUAACUAGGAUUCCCUUAGUAACGGCGAGUGAAGCGGGAAGAGCUCAAAUUUGAAAUCUUCAAGGUUUUACCUUGACGAAUUGUAGUUUAAAGAAGUGUUUUCUGUUGGUGUUUUGGUAAAAGUUCUUUGGAAUAGGACAUCAUAGAGGGUGAGAAUCCCGUAUUUGACCAUUACUUCCAGCGUUGUGAUACACUUUCAAAGAGUCGGAUUGUUUGGGAAUGCAGUCCAAAAUGGGUGGUAAAUUUCAUCUAAAGCUAAAUACUGGCGAGAGACCGAUAGCGAACAAGUACCGUGAGGGAAAGAUGAAAAGAACUUUGAAAAGAGAGUUAAACAGUACGUGAAAUUGUCAAAAGGGAAGCGUUUGACACCAGUGUUGUUUUCUCGAAAAUCAAUUAAAAAUGGCGGGAUUUUGUGUUGUAUUGACUUUAUCAGCUUUCUGCACUUUUUUCCUGUCUUUUUUAAUGCACUUUUCGUUUAACAAGUCAACAUCAAUUUCUUUUGUUGUAAAAGGGUCAUUGGAAGGUGGCUUUCUUUUCGGAGAAAGUGUUUAUAGCCUUUGACUUCUGCAAUCGGAGAGAUUGAGGUCUGCAGCGUAGAUCCUUCGGGGUUAGAUGCAUUUGUGCUAAGCUAUAGCCUUUCAUAGACAACUUGUUGACUAUGAUCAGUCAUGUAGCUUACUCGCUUAUGCUAUUUUACCUACGCUUAGGAUGUUGAUCUCUCACAGUCGAGC
rnacentral:rRNA from 1 species